rnacentral:rRNA from 1 species
CCUACGGGGGGCAGCAGUAGGGAAUAUUGCACAAUGGGGGAAACCCUGAUGCAGCAACGCCGCGUGGAGGAUGAAGGUUUUCGGAUUGUAAACUCCUAUUGUCAGGGAAGAUAUUGACGGUAUCUAACGAAUAAGCACCGGCUAACUCCGUGCCAGCAGCCGCGGUAAUACGGGGGGUGCAAGCGUUACUCGGAUUCACUGGGCGUAAAGGGCGCGUAGGCGGGAGAGCAAGUCUGAUGUGAAAUCCUAUGGCUUAACCAUAGAACUGCAUUUGAAACUGUUAUUCUAGAGUAUGGGAGAGGUAGGUGGAAUUCUUGGUGUAGGGGUAAAAUCCGUAGAGAUCAAGAGGAAUACUCAUUGCGAAGGCGACCUGCUAGAACAUAACUGACGCUGAGGCGCGAAAGCGUGGGGAGCAAACAGGAUUAGAUACCCUUGUAGUC